UACGGAGGAUGCAAGCGUUAUCCGGAAUGAUUGGGCGUAAAGCGUCCGCAGGUGGCAAUGUAAGUCUGCUGUCAAAGCGUCUGGCUCAACCAGAUAAAGGCAGUGGAAACUACAUAGCUAGAGUAAGGUAGGGGUAGAGGGAAUUCCUGGUGUAGCGGUGAAAUGCGUAGAGAUCAGGAAGAACACCGGUGGCGAAAGCGCUCUGCUGGACCUUAACUGACACUGAGGAGCGAAAGCGUGGGGAGCGAUCCGG
rnacentral:rRNA from 1 species